UCCGCGUUGUAAUCUCGAGACGUGUUUUCCGUGCGGCUCUAUGGACAAGUCCCUUGGAACAGGGCAUCGUAGAGGGUGAAAAUCCCGUACUUGCCAUGGAAGAACCGUGCUUUGCGAUACACGCUCUAAGAGUCGAGUUGUUUGGGAUUGCAGCUCAAAACGGGUGGUAGACUCCAUCUAAAGCUAAAUAUCGGGGAGAGACCGAUAGCGAACAAGUACCGUGAGGGAAAGAUGAAAAGCACUUUGGAAAGAGAGUUAAAAGUACGUGAAAUUGUCGAAAGGGAAGCACUUGAAGUCAGCCAUGCUGCUUGAGACUCAGCCUGGCUUUUGCUUGGUGUAUUUCUCGGUAGCAAGCCAGCAUUGGUUUGUGUCGUCGGAGAAGCGCAUGGGGAAUGUGGCAUCCUCGGAUGUGUUAUAGCCCUGUGCAGGAUACGACGACGUAGACCAAGGAACGCAGUG
rnacentral:rRNA from 1 species